GGGGUUGUGGCUCAAUGGUAGAGUGCUCACCUAGCACAUGUGAGGCGCUGGGUUCAAUCCUCAGCGCCACA
rnacentral:tRNA from 1 species